rnacentral:lncRNA from 10 species
CAAUGACCCCACACGAUCUUACCUGCUCCUCAGACCACAGCCAAGGAAGAGAUUUCUGACAAACAAGCAAAAACACAACACUGUCCACACAACUGUAAAUAUGCAAGGAAGAGUUUCUUCUUGCCUGAAAACUGCUGUACAAGCAUGGCACCAGCAUCUGAGGCAAAAGGGGAGCUGGCAUGUGCAGAGAUUACAUGGCAAGAGAGGAUGCAAGAGAGAGAGAACGAGGUGCCAGAUUCUUUAACCGUCAGAUCUCAUGGGAAAUAAGGCGCUGUGCAGGAACGACUUUAGGACAAGUCCUUUAAUGUCUUUUCAACCUGUUCUGGCCCCUGUGCUCCUCCUAGAUACAAAUUCUGGAGCAGCAACUGAUUUACCAGGAAACACUGAGGAGUAGAGCAAGGUAAAGAAUUUUAACUGUUUGGGGUUCGUUACUUCACACUUAAGAAAUCUACAAACCACAGGAAAUGAAACUUGACUAAAUGCAGAUGACACAGACAGCCAACUCCGAAAAUGUGCUGGGCUCCACUCAGUUCUAGGUGACCUUUAGCAAAAAGAGGGUGUUCUGAUGAAACCCUUUGACCAUAACCAACAGCCUCCAACUUACAGGAUUCUCCCCUCGUAUGACCAAGUGGUGUAAUCUUUGAGGUCCUGGCAGCACAGGUUGAGUGCAACCUAAAAGAGAAUGAGGAUUCCACAAGGUCUUCUGGAAUGGUACACUUAUUGGAAACUUGUUUCAGCAUUCAAAAAAACCUGGCCUGUUUCUAAAGCAAUGCAUGGUUUAAGAGGAAUGGCAAAUUGAAGCCAACGUUUUUCAAACACAUUUCACUUAAAAAAAAAUGGCCACUAGAAAGAAUGCAACUUAUUUUCAAAAAGAAUUAUCUCAAGAAAGCAUGGUUGGCCCAUUCAUCCAUCUCCCUGCCCACAAGGGAAUGAAUGAAUGAAGACAAGAUGUGCCACCUCUGAAAGACUGUUAAUCUCCCUCUCUCUAUAAAAGUGGUACUAUGUAAUUUCUACUCAUUUGGUUACAAAUAAAAUUAGUAAGUGAAGGAUCCGUAGUUUCUGUAUGUCACCUACAAACCUGAGUCUUUGUGCUAAAAUUGUUCAAAUAUUCAAUUGAAUCUUAUUCAAUACCAAUGCUUUUGUAUAUUGCAUGUGGUAUAUGUGCAUGGUGCUUGGCUUAUUCUGAGAGCCAUUUGGUGGAAUAAGAAGAGAGUAAAUGAAGCCUCAUUCUAGAACUUUCUUUCUAAAGUAAAAAGGCAGAGCAACCCAUAGAAGGCUCUAGAAAAGGAACACAUACCAUGGAAAGGAAAAAGGAAAGAGAUGCUACCCAGGUCAUGAGGUUUGGAUUUGUGUCCUUCCCCAAACCUCAUGUCAAAUUGUAACCCCCAAUGUUGGAGGAGGGGCCUGGCAGGAGGUGACUGGAUCAUGUGAGUGGAUUUUCCCCUGUUCUUGUGAUAGUGAGCUCUCACUAGAUCUGGUUGUUUAAAAGUAUGUAGCACCUUCCACUUCGCCCUCUUCCUCCUUCUCCAGCCAUGUAGGACCUGCCUACUUCCCCUUCACCUUCUGCCACAACUGUAAGUUUCCCAAGGCCUCCCCAGCCACGCUUCCUGUACAGCCUGCAGAACUGUGUUCCAAUUAAAC